rnacentral:rRNA from 1 species
AGCGGAUGACGGGAGCUUGCUCCUUGAUUCAGCGGCGGACGGGUGAGUAAUGCCUAGGAAUCUGCCUGGUAGUGGGGGACAACGUUUCGAAAGGAACGCUAAUACCGCAUACGUCCUACGGGAGAAAGCAGGGGACCUUCGGGCCUUGCGCUAUCAGAUGAGCCUAGGUCGGAUUAGCUAGUUGGUGGGGUAAUGGCUCACCAAGGCGACGAUCCGUAACUGGUCUGAGAGGAUGAUCAGUCACACUGGAACUGAGACACGGUCCAGACUCCUACGGGAGGCAGCAGUGGGGAAUAUUGGACAAUGGGCGAAAGCCUGAUCCAGCCAUGCCGCGUGUGUGAAGAAGGUCUUCGGAUUGUAAAGCACUUUAAGUUGGGAGGAAGGGCAGUAAGCUAAUACCUUGCUGUUUUGACGUUACCGACAGAAUAAGCACCGGCUAACUCUGUGCCAGCAGCCGCGGUAAUACAGAGGGUGCAAGCGUUAAUCGGAAUUACUGGGCGUAAAGCGCGCGUAGGU